CAGAAGUGUGGUUUCGUCGGAUGGAGGCACCGUAGCUUUAUGGAUCUGGGCAAAACUGCUACAGACCUGAGCCCUUGGACCAUGCCUAAGGACUACCUGGCAUGAUGACUCCUUGCUGUCCCCAGUCCACCUGGCCGUGCUGCUGCUCCAGUUUCAACUGUUCUGCCUGCAGCUAUGGAAUCCUGACCUGUUCACCGGACGUGCUACCUGUCCCAAAUCUAUUAUUUGACCAUGCUGGUCAUUUAUGAACAUUUGAACAUCUUGGCCAUGUUCUGUUAUAAUCUCCACCCGGCACAGCCAGAAGAGGACUGGCAUUUCUAGGGAGUGUUUCCUAGCCAACAUUGCUUGCUGUUUGGGGUUUUUGGCUGGGUUUCUGUUCAGCACUUUGAGAUAUCAGCUGAUGUACGAAGGGCUAUAAUAAAUACAUUUGAUUUGAUUUGACCUCGAUCAGACACUAUAUCCUCAGGCACCCCGCAGUGCCGGAAGACGUGCGUAAACAAGGCCUCCGUAUUCUGUAGGGCUGUAGGGAGACCGGGCAGAGGGAGGAGACGGCAGGACUUAGAGGAAACGAUCCACAACGACCAGGAUCAUGGUAUUUCCCUGUGAUGGGGGAAGAUUGGUCAGGUAAUCUAUCAACAGGUGUGACCAUGGCCGCUGUGGAACGGGUAAGGGGUGUAACUUACCUCUGGGCAGGUGCCUAGGAGCCUUACACUGGGCACACACCGAGCAGGAGGAAACAUAAACCCUCACGUCCUUAGCCAAGGUAGGCCACCAGUACCUCCCGCUCAAACAGCGCACUGUCCGACCAUUGCCUGGAUGACCAGAGGAGGGUGACGUUUGGGCCCAAUAGAUCAACCGGUCAUGAACAGCAGACGGGACGUACAGACGCCCAGCAGGACAAUGGACGGGAGUGGGCUCUGUACAUAACGCCUGCUCAAUGUCCGUUUUCAGCUCCCACACUACCAGCGCCACCAGUCAGGAGGCGGGGAGUAUGGGAGUGAGAUCCAUGGGCUGCUCCUUUGUGUCAUACAGCUGGGACAAUGCCUUAACAUUCUGGGAGCCUGGUCUGUAGGAAAGGGUAAACACAAAAUGGGUGAAAAACAUGGCCCACCUUGCCUGGCGAGGGUUCAGUCUCCUCGCUGCCUGGAUGUACUCCAGAUUGUGGUGGCCAGUCCAGAUGAGAAAGGGGUGUCUAGCCUCCUCAAGCCAAUGUCUCCACGCCUUCAAGGUCUUGACUACAGCCAACAGCUCUCGGUCCCCCACAUCAUAGUUUCGCUCCGCCGGGCUGAGCUUCUUCGAGAAGAAGGCACAGGGGCGGAGCUUCGGUGGCGUACCCGAGCGCUGAGAGAGCACAGCUCCUAUAUGUUAAGGGAUUUUUUAUCAAUAAUGACUAAUUAUGCAUACAUUUCAGUCAGGACUGACUAAUCAGAAUACUAUUAUGUUACUGUAUAGAUGUAUGAAUUUCCUCUUAACCCUAGUACUGAAUAUAAUGUGUGUAAAUAUAAUCAAGAAGUAGAACAAUGUCUGUCUGUUCCUUGGUAGAAAUGAGUGAACUUAUAGCCAGACUGGCUAGAAUGCUUAUCUACUCAGGCAGACCUUGGCUUGCGUCGUAAAUUAUCUUAGUAGGGAGAGACGAUGUGGGAAGGCUUGAGAACUAUACUGCCAUUGUACUGCUGGUUGAUGAGACGGUUAAUGACGUAAUUUUCAGUUUAUAACCUGUGGUAAAAUUUAUCAUAAGUAGUACUCUCGAGAAUAAACGCUGCUGGUUGAUUUUUAA